CAGACUCUAAACUAGAGAGAACAAGCAGAUGGUUACCAGAAAGGAGGUGGGUGUAGGGAAUGGGUGAAAUAGGUGAAGGGGGGAUUAAGAGUACACUUAUCUCGAUGAGCAGUAAUAUUUCAAAUUGUCAAAUCACUAUACUGUACAACUAAAACUAAUUUAACAGUUUAACUAUACUGGAUUUUUUUAAAGUCAUUUAUCUAAAAUUCAAAUUUAACAGGGUAAUUUUACUUGGCAACUCUGAGGUCUCUAGGUCUGUUCCAGGUGUCCAUCUCAUCUAUUGUGAAAUAAUAAUAAUAAUGGGGACUUGCCUUACAAAUAAUUCUAUUUGACUCUAGUCCUGCAAUUAUAUGGCUCCCCUCUUCACUGGUAUCCCCUGCCUCUGGAUGGCACUCUCCGUGGUUCAGGCCUUCAUUCUGUGGCUGAGUGAGCAUUUCCCUCAGUCAACUUCUACAGUGAGACACUUUCUUCAUGAAUUCACAGACUUCUCUGUGCUACAGGAAGCCUAUAUGGAAAAUCUGCUACCAAAUCAAGCCUCCGUGUUGCAAGCCAACAAACAAAUGAGCUUUGUAUCAAUCAACUAAAUCAAUCAAAACUGGCUACCUAUUCAAAGUUGCAUGAUGUUUUCUUUUCCAUGUUUCUGUUGAACCUACAGACUAUUGAGCACCCAUUAUGUGCUUAGAACUACCUACAGAAAGGAAAUUGAUCUCUUUUCUCACGAUGGUGGGAGAAGAUGUGUAACAAAUGAAGCCUAUGUAGCUGUGUAUCCUUAUGAGAAAAAAAAUGAGUAGAGUAGGUUACAAGGGUUUUAGAAGAAGGAAGAAAUGAACAGUAGGGAGAGCAAUCUAGAAAGUCUACAUAAUGAGAAGAGAGUGCUUGGAGUGAGCAGAAUUUGGUUAUGCUAAAGGGGGUUAAGGAAAUACGAAUGUGGACAUUUCACAGGUACAACCAAAUCUCUCUGCAUGAGAUUUUCCAGCCCUUGUACACAAAGCUCCCCACAUCAACAACACAUUCUGCUGCCAGCCACUGCCCGUUGUGCAUCUUCUAGAUGUAGUUUGUUGGUUUUCCUGUUUUUCGAUUUUAUAUUAUACAAAAUCCAUGUAAUCUUUUUUUCUUUCUCCAUAGCUCUUUGAUCAGAAGGUCAAUGCUUUUGUUUGCUUCUAUGACCACUUUUUAAUAGUUGACAUGAUUUCUUGAGUUUCUUAAGGCUGUUAGUGUAAUCUUAGUUUUUAAGGGAGUCUUAAGUACCUAUUUCCAUAAUGCCUACUCUUAAUCAUCGCUCCCUUUACAAAAACAGGAAAACUGUAUGACAAAUUAUUUUACUUCCUUAUUUGGCCACCUUUAAAGUUUAGUUCAAUUGGCAUCAUGUGGUAUAGCAAUUCAUCCAACUAUGCUGUUCAUUCUAAUUCAUAUACUCUCCACAAAAACACUAAAAUAUGUUUCAUUAUAGUUUUGAAACUACAAGUUCUAGGUAAUUGCAUAUUCUCCUUUAAAACUAUAAUUUCCACUGUUUUCCUCAGAACUGCAGGUCAAAUGUGUGUUUUUAAUGAAAGUCUUACCUAGAUUAGUGCUAUAACUUUUCCCCAAGCUAAGUUUAAUCUCCAUAUACAGUAUCUGUUAUCUAUAUAACUUUUUUUACUUAAGCAGGUCUGUACUUCUGACAUUACAUAAAUAUUAGAAAUCCAUCUAUUUCUGUAGCACAAAAAUGAAUGUUCUUUGAGUGUUUCCAAAAUGUAGGAUAAAUACUGGUACAGGUGAAUUCCUCAGACUGGGCUGACAGAAACUAGAUGAUAGAUAGAUGAUAGAUAGAAAGAUAGAUGAUAGAUGAUAGAUAGAUGAUAGAUGAUAGAUAGAUGAUAGAUAGAUAGAUAGAUAUAGAUAAUAGAUGAUAGAUACCUAGUUAAAUUUGAAUUUCAAAUAAAUAAUAAAUAAUUCUUAGUGUAAUUAUACA
rnacentral:lncRNA from 1 species